AGCGUCCCUUUUCUCCGUCCGUCUCUCUAAAUUGGAUUUCACGUUACAAUGCAACAGGUUUGACCUCUACGGAUGAAAGUUAAGCGUAACACCGGUUGUCUUUUACAUCGUCUUUAAAUCUGAAAGAUGCCACACAGAAUUGAAUUCAGCAAAAGCGGGAUUAUGCAGUGAGUAAUGCUGCCGUGACGACUGCUGGCUACACCAACGCCCAUAAUCUCUGAAUUUACCAGCUUCUGUUACUUGCAUUGAUUCUGUACUUUCUCCUUUAUGUGGAAGUUUGCUAGUUAAGUUUAGGUCACAUCCUGUAUCAUAGUUAAAUAUUAAGUAACUCUGCAACACUAAAGUUUCUCUUUUUCUCUCUCUUUGUCUUUUUCUGCAGCCAUUUUUUUGAAAACUAAAAUAAGAUGUGCCCAUUAGACGAAUGCCAAACUCCUCACCUGCAUCACUUUUCUUUUCACUUCCUGUGACUUGGACUUGGAGGCCGACACAUUUGGACAUACAUGUUCCUCCUCCCCUCUCCACUCCCUGGACAUCACAUAGCCAACAGAUUAAUUAGACAACUGAUAGCAGUGUUCUCUCUUAGUCCUGGCCCACUGAGUUUUGUUUUUCUUUUUCACUUCUUGUAAGCCUCUAAUUUCUAUCUUUACAUUAAUGGAGCUUACUUGGUGUGCUGACCCAGGGGAGGCAAAAAAUUAAGUCUCCUUUUUUCCUCCAGGGGGGCUGCAGCUUAUUCCGCAGCUAGUUUGCUUCAUCCAUUUGCUGAGGGAAAAUAUUAUACCAGGCAAUUUUGUUAGACCGUGCAGAUCCUAAAUUUAACAAAAAAAAAAGAAAAAAAAAAAGCUUACAUUUCAUUAUCACUUUUCCGUUGUAUCGCACAAUCUUACAGGGAACGUUGCAAUCUAUAAAUAAAAGCAAAGGGCAUUUUG